CGCUAGCGACAGGCCUAACACAUGCAAGUCGAGGGGCAUCGGGGCGAGGAGCAAUCCUUGCCGCCGGCGACCGGCGCACGGGUGAGUAACGUGUAUGCGACCUGCCCGUUGCAGGGGGAUAAUCGGGAGAAAUCCCGUCUAAGACCGCGUAACGCCGCGGGGCUGCAUGGCCCUGCGGCCAAAGGGAGCGAUUCCGGCAACGGAUGGGCAUGCGUGACAUUAGCUAGUUGGCGGGGCAACGGCCCACCAAGGCGACGAUGUCUAGGGGUUCUGAGAGGAAGGUCCCCCACACUGGUACUGAGACACGGAUCAGACUCCUACGGGAGGCAGCAGUGAGGAAUAUUGGUCAAUGGGCGCGAGCCUGAACCAGCCAAGUCGCGUGAGGGAUGACGGCCCUACGGGUUGUAAACCUCUUUUGUCGGGGAGCAAAUUCCGCCACGUGUGGCGGAGUCGAGAGUACCCGAAGAAAAAGCAUCGGCUAACUCCGUGCCAGCAGCCGCGGUAAUACGGAGGAUGCGAGCGUUAUCCGGAUUUAUUGGGUUUAAAGGGUGCGUAGGCGGACUGUCAAGUCAGCGGUAAAAUACGGGGGCUCAACCUCCGCCCGCCGUUGAAACUGACGGUCUUGAGUGGGCGAGAAGUAUGCGGAAUGCGUGGUGUAGCGGUGAAAUGCAUAGAUAUCACGCACAACUCCGAUUGCGAAGGCAGCAUACCGGCGCCCAACUGACGCUGAAGCACGAAAGCGUGGGUAUCGAACAGGAUUAGAUACCCUGCUACUCCACGCAGUAACGAUGAAUACUAGCUGUCCGGGGCGAAUGAGCCCUGGGUGGCACAGCGAAAGCGUUAAGUAUUCCACCUGGGGAGUACGCCGGCAACGGUGAAACUCUAAGGAAUUGACGGGGGCCCGCACAAGCGGAGGAACAUGUGGUUUAAUUCGAUGAUACGCGAGGAACCUUACCCGGGCUCAAACGACACAGGAACGUACCUGAAAGGGUUCGGCUCUACGGAGCCUGUGUCGAGGUGCUGCAUGGUUGUCGUCAGCUCGUGCCGUGAGGUGUCGGCUUAAGUGCCAUAACGAGCGCAACCCCCAUCGACAGUUGCUAACAGGUUAGGCUGAGGACUCUGUCGAGACUGCCGGCGCAAGCUGCGAGGAAGGCGGGGAUGACGUCAAAUCAGCACGGCCCUUACGUCCGGGGCGACACACGUGUUACAAUGGCAGGUACAGCGGGAAGCCACCUGGCGACAGGGAGCGGAACCCGAAAGCCUGUCUCAGUUCGGAUUGGAGUCUGCAACCCGACUCCAUGAAGCUGGAUUCGCUAGUAAUCGCGCAUCAGCCACGGCGCGGUGAAUACGUUCCCGGGCCUUGUACACACCGCCCGUCAAGCCAUGGAAGCCGGGGGUGCCUGAAGUGCGCUGCCGCGAGGAGCGCCCUAGGGUAAAACCGGUGACUGGGGCUAAGUCGUAACAAGGUAGCCGU
rnacentral:rRNA from 1 species